rnacentral:rRNA from 1 species
AGGGUGUAAACGCUGCGGGCUUGGUGUUGGGGGUCCUUAGUGGGCGCCCAGUGCCGGAGAGAAGUUGUUAAGCCUGCUGCUUGGGGAGUAUGUCCGCAAGGAUGAAACUUAAAGGAAUUGGCGGGGGAGCACCACAACGGGUGGAGCCUGCGGUUUAAUUGGACUCAACGCCGGGAAGCUCACCGGAUAAGACAGCGGAAUGAUUGCCGGGCUGAAGACCCUGCAUGACCAGCUGAGAGGAGGUGCAUGGCGUAGUCGUGU